rnacentral:lncRNA from 1 species
AAAGAAAGAGGGGAAAAACUAAAUCCCGGUAAAAAAAUAGCAUCAAGGACGGUGGUUUGGCAUUGGUCUAAUGAGGUGAGAGAAAAAAAUAUAAAAAGAGUGGGAGAGUUCGAUCACAAUAUUGAGAGAAAAGAGAAAAGAAAAGGAGUGGUGGAGGAAGGUUUUCCCGUGGUGGUUUGUGGCGGUUCACGAUGAUGGCGGUGGCGAUGAAAUGCAGUGAUUGAAAGAAAAGAGAAGGAGAAGAGAACCUUGGACAGUGG